rnacentral:lncRNA from 1 species
AUGGGCUGGGCAUGGUGGUGCGUGCCUGUAAUCCCAGCUACUCGGGAGGCUGAGGCAGGAGAAUUGCCUGAACCCAGAGGCGGAGGUUGCAGUGAGCCGAGAUCACGCCAUUGCUGCGAUUUUAAAAGUUAAAAGGGAGUAGGAAUGGGGGAAAGAAACAAAAUCAGAACAUGGAGUCUUCAAGGGAAGUGGUAAAGCACUAUACUGAUCUAUUCAACAAGGAAUAGUAGGUGAUAGAAUUUUAGAGCUAAAAUAAAAGCUAGAAAAUGUGAAGGUGGAGGGAAGGAACAUGGUCUGGAAGGAAGAAAAUGGGGUGAACAAACAUGGGAGUUAAAGGAGUGGAUCUCAGAAAGAGAGACAUUAGACUGGUGAUGGCCAGAGGCUCAGAAGGUGAAGGAGAAGCCUGAUGAAAAGAAGUUGAUUAAUAGUAGGUUACAAAAAUUAGGUUUGACAAAGGGGGUAAGACCUGAUGUUCAGUAGAUCAGUAGGGUGACAAUGGUUAACACAAAUCUAUUGUACAUUUCAAAAUAGUUGGAAGAGAAUAAUUGGAAUGUUUUUAGCAUGAAGAAGAGAUAAAGAAUUAAGGGGAUGGAUGUCCUAAUGACAUUGAUUUAAUAGUAUGGAUGAAUCAAAAUAUCACAUGUACAUUCCUUAUGAAUAAAUAACAAUUGACCAAAAAUUUUAAAAAAAAGUAGAAUGAGGCCUGUACUUACUGUACUUCUUAGACAAUGACUCCUGUAUCAGAAAUUUCUGGAGAGAAGUUCAAGCGGGUACAGAGUCCUUGUAGGAGAGCCCAAGGGUUAGGGCAAGAAGAAAAGUGACUGGAGGCUUGCAGGCAUGGGAGAUUUUUCUGAGCAAUUGUGAGCUCCAGAGGGAACUGUGCAGGAAGACUUUAGAAAAUGGUCUAGAUAGAAAAAGAUGACUGGAGCUCAAGAAGUGAUGGGUGGCCCUGGCCUCUUGUGGUGAGGGAAGAGAGAGAAAGCCCUAGUUCCAGUGGUCUAAAUGCCUGUAAUGGAAGUCUGGAGUGCUGCUUGUGGCUGGGGUUUCAGGGAAGACAGACAUGGCUCUAGAAUUCUUAAAAAGUGAAACGAUCAAUCUUCCUGUCUUUUAUACCCAAUAGACUCUGAUUACAAAAGAGGCAAAUACAGAACUGUUGGUAAUCUGCCUUUGUAGAAAUCUGCAAGUUGUCAGUCACAGAACUUUACGGUUAACUGGAAGAAGUAUAUUACAAUAAUUAAAUCACCGUUUCAAUUGUGUGGUAUUUCAUAACAUUUAAAGACUCCUUUUAUGGACGCAACACGCUGAUAGAUAAAAGAGAGAACCCUUCUCAUUACAUUCAGCUCCAAAGUA